AAACUACGUAAGAUUUAUUAGCAACUGCCAGAUUAAAUCAAUUAAAAACAUACUUUAAAAUCCUUGAACUGUAGUAUGAUCUUAUACAUUUUUUUUUUUUCAGUUUGUCAUUUGCAGUUUUGAACAAAAAUUUUGAGAGAUUUGUUAUAUCAAUUUUUUAAAAUUAUUAAUCUGUCAUCACACCCAACUUUGUUAAGUUUUUUAUUCAAAAUAAAUCAUGGACAGCUGUGUUUAGCGUUACUUCGGACACUUGAAUACUCUUUCACAAGUUUUUUAUCUUUUUUAUUUUUAUGCAAGAUAUAUUAGGAAUAAAUUGAUUUAGGAUUUUUGACCUUCUUGUCACUAAUUAUCUAUUUUUAUUUGGGAUGACACAAAACUUUUGGCUGGUAAAAAAAACAUGCAUGGUUCAUUACCAGAACUUAUUGUCAACUACUCAAACGAAUAAUAUUGGACUUACUAAGACUAACUCCAACCCAAAUUAAUUGAUAAGAUUUUUUUUUUCUUCUGAAAACAUAGGCCCUCGGCCGGGACAAUGGAUACCCAAUAGUGUUGAUUAUAUGUAUAGAGUUCAAAUCACACGCGCACAAUUUUCCCACUUUCUGGAAGCCUCUCCGACUCUCGAUUGAAUCUCCUCUCCUCAGUUCUCCCCCUCGGAUCUCAAUCGUCGAUUCUCACUCUCCUCCCUCUCGAUCUCUCUUUCAGAGUCCAAAUUGACUCUCAUUCUUCUCGAUUCUUAGACUCCCUCUAGAAUCACGAUAGUUGAGCUCCCUCCCCCAGCUUUUCUAAAGUCGACUCCGAGUCUCCGACCACCCCCAUCUACUCCUCUCAACUUGGACCACUACUUCACGGCCUAGGUCUCCUGACUCCUAAGCUCAGCAACAAACGGAGUAAAAUGAGAAGCUGAAGCACUAAGUCUAACAGUGGGACUCGAAGACUUUUCUGAGCUCCUUCCCAAGUAUUUCAAGCACUACAAUUUCUCUAGCUUCGUCAGGCAGUUGAAUACUUAUUGCAUCCUCAAUUUUCAAAGAUAGCUCCUGCAAGUGUCAUAUGUGAUGCAGUGUUGAUGUGCAUUGCCAUGCAGCAGCUACAGCCUCAUUUUAUAAAAAGGUUGUAUUUUUUGAAAAGAAAAAAAAGAGUUCGACCGUUGAACCCGAGGACCCACCCUGUUUCAAACGGGCCGGGUAAGGUUCAAUUCCAUGUACCCGGCUCGGCCCGUUCCGUUACAGAUUUAAACGGGUAAAAUCAGGCUCCUUCAAAAUUGGGCCCGACCCAGCCUGGCCCGUGCCCACCCCUAGUGCAAAUGUACCCAUAGCAUCUGAAGGACUCAGAUCGUAGAAUAUUGGCAGAACUAUUUGCUUCAGUGUUCUUCUGCACUCCACGAUAUGCACCAGCUCCUCAAGACACCAGAUGGAAUCCGCGUACCUACUUG